CCAGACUCCUACGGGAGGCAGCAGUGGGGAAUAUUGCGCAAUGGGCGAAAGCCUGACGCAGCGACGCCGCGUGAGGGAUGGAGGUCUUCGGAUCGUAAACCUCUGUCAGCAGGGAAGAACGGUCACUGUGCUAAUCAGCAGUGAAUUGACGGUACCUGCAAAGGAAGCACCGGCUAACUCCGUGCCAGCAGCCGCGGUAAUACGGAGGGUGCAAGCGUUGUCCGGAAUCAUUGGGCGUAAAGAGUUCGUAGGCGGCAUGUAAAGUCAGGUGUUAAAGGCGCAGGCUCAACCUGUGUAUGGCACUUGAUACUUGCAAGCUGGAAUGCGGUAGAGGGAAAGGGAAUUCCUGGUGUAGCGGUGAAAUGCUUAGAUAUCAGGAGGAACAUCGGUGGCGUAAGCGCUUUACUGGGCCGUAAUUGACGCUGAGGAACGAAAGCCAGGGUAGCAAAUGGGAUUAGAUACCCCUGUAGUA
rnacentral:rRNA from 1 species